rnacentral:rRNA from 1 species
AUUGAAGGCUACACGCCAACAUUGUGAAACGCGUCUCUCGGGACGCAUUGCUUGGGUGUCUCUCGGGGCGCCCAACCAUAAACUCUUAUACUUUUAUCUGAAAACCAAGAAAAUUCAAAACUUUCAACAACGGAUCUCUUGGUUCUCGCAUCGAUGAAGAACGCAGCAAAGCGCGAUAGGUAAUGCGAAUUGCACACGUGAGUCAUUGAAUCUUUGAACGCACAUUGCGCUACUAGGUUCUCCUAGUAGCAUGCUUGUUGGAGUGCCGAUCUUUCUCUCCUACCACGUUUGCGUGGUGGGCGGUUUUGCUCCAUGCUGGAGUGAAAAGAAUGGCAGUGCACACGUUAGAUAACUCUGUGCAGUAUCAACCAAAUUAAUUUUGGCCCCCAAUCAAGCAAGGCUACCCGCU